CCGUGCUAGCCGGGGAGGUAGCGGCACCCUAUUUCUGCAAUCCGCUAUAGCAGAGGUGAUGGUUUGCUUCGGGCUGUUUUCUGUAGAGCUGCCCUCUACAAGUGGCGUUGAUAUCUGGGUCUCACGCAAUAGGAAUCCAUGAACCGUGUCAGGUUGGGAACAAAGCAGCACUAAGUGGAACCUUCUAUGUGCCGUGAGGGUGCCUGGGUUGAGUUAACUAUAGAGGUAACGUCUGUGGAAGAUAGCACAACGCAUUCCGCACGG
rfam:Clostridiales bacterium Nov_37_41 Ley3_66761_scaffold_7888, whole genome shotgun sequence.